rnacentral:rRNA from 1 species
UACAGGGGGUGCAAGCGUUAUUCGGAGUUACUGGGCGUAAAGCGCACGUAGGUGGUUUAGCAAGUCUGGUGUGAAAUCCCCGGACUCAAUUCGGGAAGUGCAUUGGAUACUGCUAGACUAGAGUGUAGGAGGGGAGAGCGGAAUUCCUGGUGUAGAGGUGAAAUUCGUAGAUAUCAGGAGGAACAACGGAGGCGAAGGCGGCUCUCUAGACUACAACUGACACUCAGGUGCGAAAGCGUGGGGAGCAAACAGG